rnacentral:rRNA from 1 species
AGUGAACGUUGGCGGUAGGCCUAACACAUGCAAGUCGAACGGCAGCACAGUAAGAGCUUGCUCUUACGGGUGGCGAGUGGCGGACGGGUGAGGAAUACAUCGGAAUCUACUUUUUCGUGGGGGAUAACGUAGGGAAACUUACGCUAAUACCGCAUACGACCUACGGGUGAAAGCAGGGGAUCUUCGGACCUUGCGCGAUUGAAUGAGCCGAUGCCGGAUUAGCUAGUUGGCGGGGUAAAGGCCCACCAAGGCGACGAUCCGUAGCUGGUCUGAGAGGAUGAUCAGCCACACUGGAACUGAGACACGGUCCAGACUCCUACGGGAGGCAGCAGUGGGGAAUAUUGGACAAUGGGCGCAAGCCUGAUCCAGCCAUACCGCGUGGGUGAAGAAGGCCUUCGGGUUGUAAAGCCCUUUUGUUGGGAAAGAAAAGCAGCAGGUUAAUCCCCCGCUGUUCUGACGGUACCCAAAGAAUAAGCACCGGCUAACUUCGUG